GACAGAGGCCCCAAGCGUUAGGCGGAAUCACUGGGCUUAAAGCGUGUGUAGGCGGAUCGUUAAGUGUCUUGUGAAAUCCCACGGCUCACCCGUGGAACUGCUGGGCAUACUGGCGAUCUUGGGCCAACUAGGGGCAGCCGGAACAAGCGGUGGAGCGGUGAAAUGCGUAGAUAUCAGGAGGAACACCGAUGGCGAAGGCAGGUCUCUGGGCCGAUACUGACGCUGAGGAGUGAAAGCGUGGGGAGCGAACAGG
rnacentral:rRNA from 1 species